rnacentral:rRNA from 1 species
CAGUAGCCGCGGUAAUACGUAGGUGGCAAGCGUUGUCCGGAAUUAUUGGGCGUAAAGCGCGCGCAGGCGGUUUCUUAAGUCCAUCUUAAAAGCGUGGGGCUCAACCCCAUGAGGGGAUGGAAACUGGAAAGCUGAAGUAUCGGAGAGGAAAGUGGAAUUCCUAGUGUAGCGGUGAAAUGCGUAGAGAUUAGGAAAAACACCGGUGGCGAAGGCGACUUUCUAGACGAAAACUGACGCUGAGGCGCGAAAGCCAGGGGAGCGAACGGGAUUAGAUACCCGCGUAGUCCCUGUCUCUUAUACC